rnacentral:snoRNA from 1 species
UGGGAUGAUGUGAAGGGUAGGUUGCUGAGGGGUGAUGAACUAAUCGGCCCCUGACC